UUAUAAAGUGUGAAGGUCAAAUGCACACUAUGCACAAUAGCUGUUCCAUGUACAAUUUUGUAUUACUACUUGAGUCUAAAAGUCGUCUUCCUCUUCCACAGUUUUCUGGUUUUCACAUACUGUACAAGAACCAACCAGAUACUGUAUAACAACUAAGAAGAUACUGUACAACAACGAACCAAAUACUGUACAACAACCAACCAGAUACUGUACAACAACCAACCAGAUACUGUACAACAACCAACCAGAUACUGUACAACAACCAACCAGAUACUGUACAACAACCAACAAGAUACUGUACAACAACCAACAAGAUACUGUACAACAACCAACCAGAUACUGUACAACAACCAACAAGAUACUGACCUUUGCGUAGGUUUUGAUUAACUUUAAACAAACCAGGCGAUCACGGCGCUUCGUGCCCAUCUUCUGUUUCAACUUUCAAUUGUUACUCAAGCAAAAUGGUUUGAUAUCCAAACCAUCCCUACUAAAUGUAUAAAAUCUCUUCCUCCCUCUCUGUCUGUAUUCAUUAAUACUGAAAUUAGGAACCUGACACUGCCAUCUUGUUUAGCUAGGUCAGGCUCAAUGAAACAGGGGAAAAUAUUUUUCUAAAAAAUUCUCUUUUCGGUCGAAUCGAGAAUUGGGAACCUCCCCUUCCCCCACAUGAUCCCAUCACCAACAUUACAAAAAAAAAAUAUGAACUUACAGAACAUUUUGUAUUAGAGGCUAGGUCGGGGGCUGUGACUAGGGCACUCUACGCGCUGGGAGCCGAGCGCUGAGGCUAGGAUAUAUUUUUUAGAUACCAACAUGGGAAAUAUAUUGAAUGUACUGAAAACAUGUGGUUCAGGGUACGCUGAUAUAGAAGAGGAUUUUCUGAUAUUUCUAGAUUUUGAGGGAAUCAAGCAGGGAUUUCAGGAUAUAGAGGGAAUAGAUUCAAGGAAUG